UCUCAUUUGGUUAGCUAGCAAAAAAAUUGAAUCGCUUUCUAGCUAGCUAUGCUGAACUUGAAAAACAGUUAUCCAGUUAGCGUUCGUAAAUUCACUCUGACUAACUACUCUGAUUGCUUUAGAUAACAUGUAACCAGCCUAACCAACUCUGCUAGGAAUGACGUGGAUGACAGAUGUGGGAGCAGCGUAACAGUUACACUUGCAGAGAUGAGAAGCAAUGUUAGGAAUCGAGGGCUCAUUUUGACCGAGAGGAGGGUGAAAAACAUUGUAUUCGCUGCAUCCAUGUUAACAGCGUCUCACAAAAACCGAAAAUAUAUGGGUGAGAGUCACAACCGAACAACACGUGAUCCUGGAAAUGGAACACUAAACUUAUAUUGAAAUGCCAUGACUGUAAUCUGUGUGAUUUACAGAGGCACACCCACACACAUUCCCCAGAGGGAUCCUCAAAUAAGCUUUUCUACACUAAUUUCAUCUCAACAUCUCUCCCAAUAUUAUUUUGAAUUUGUAUUUACAUGUGAUAUUCCUUUCUCCCCUUCUCACAACAUGUUCAACCUCUCUGACUGCUCAACCUGGCACACUGAGCAUGCUGGGAAUCAACACUGUUCCUCAAACAAUCU